GGAGGGAUGGCCGAGUGGACGAAGGCGUCGGUCUUGAAAACCGAUGUGGGUUAACGCUCACCGUGGGUUCGAAUCCCACUCCCUCCG
rnacentral:tRNA from 1 species